rnacentral:rRNA from 1 species
UACGUAGGUGGCAAGCGUUGUCCGGAUUUACUGGGCGUAAAGGAUGCGUAGGCGGAUAUUUAAGUGAGAUGUGAAAUUCCCGGGCUUAACUUGGGAGCUGCAUUUCAAACUGGGUAUCUAGAGUGUGGGAGAGGAAAGUGGAAUUCCUAGUGUAGCGGUGAAAUGCGUAGAGAUUAGGAAGAACCCCAGUGGCGAAGGCGACUUUCUGGACCAUAACUGACGCUGAGGCAUGAAAGCGUGGGGAGCAAACAGGAUUAGAAACCCGUGUAGUCC